CAGCAUCAGAGCCCCGGUCUUGUAAACCAGAUGUCGGAGGUUAGAGUCCUCCCUACUGCU
rnacentral:tRNA from 1 species